rnacentral:rRNA from 1 species
GCCUAGUGAUAGCUGGUUGUUCAGGAAAAGAGUUUUAGCUCUACCUUAAUUUUUUUAUUAUACCAAACAAAACACUAGAUUUAAGAGCUAUUCAAAUAAGGCACAGCUUAUUUGAAACGGGGUACAACCCCUAACACUGGGUUAACCUAGAUAUAUUAAAUAAAGUGGGCCUAAAAGCAGCCAUCUUCCAAAAAGCGUUAAAGCUUAACAUAUCUUCAUCUACAAUUCCACAAUUUUUACUUAACCCUUCAUCACUACUGAACUAUUUUAUACCCUUAUAAAAGUCAUUAUGCUAGAACUAGUAACAAGAAAUUGCCCUUCUCCAAAAUGUAUGUUUAAACCAAAAUGGACCCUCCACUGGUAGUUAACGUAAAUGUAAAAAUCAUAGUACCACACAACUAGAAAACCCUAUGACCCCACAACGUCAACCUUACACUAGAACAUUACAGGAAAGAUUAAAAGAGAAAGAAGGAACUCGGCAAACCACAGUCCCGCCUGUUUACCAAAAACACCGCCUCUUGCCCAAAUAUAAGAGGUCCAGCCUGCCCAGUGACAUAGUUUAACGGCCGCGGUACCCUAACCGUGCGAAGGUAGCAUAAUCACUUGUUCUUUAAAUAAGGACUCGUAUCAACGGCAUCACGAGGGCUGUACUGUCUCCUUUCUCCAAUCAGUGAAACUGAUCUCCCCGUGAAGAAGCGGGGAUUGACCUAUAAGACGAGAAGACCCCAUGGAGCUUUAAACCCAAUAUACACCUCUACGCACCCAAAUCAAUAUAGCCCAAGAGGUUUGUAUGUUGGUUUUAGGUUGGGGGGACCGCGGAGUAAAAUUAAACCUCCAUGACAGACGGGCUAACACCCUUAUCCAUGAACCACAAUUCUAAGAGCCAAUAAAUUGUUGUCUAAUGACCCAAUUACUUGAUCAACGAACCAAGUUACCCUGGGGAUAACAGCGCAAUCUACUUCAAGAGCCCCUAUCGACAAGUAGGUUUACGACCUCGAUGUUGGAUCAGGGUAUCCUAGUGGUGCAGCCGCUACUAAAGGUUCGUUUGUUCAACGAUUAAAACCCUACGUGAUCUG